AUCAUCAUUAUAGGAUCCUGAAGGUACUCUGGCCUGGGGUUAUAACCAGUUACUAGUCAUGUGACAUCAGGCAACUAACAUCUCUAUGCCUCAGUUUCCUGAAAUGCACACUGCUUGCUCUUUUUGAAGCCUCCUCCCUCUAGCCUCAUUCAAAGUCUCCAAAACUCUUGCUGGAUAAUUCUAAUGGCCACCAUUUCUGCGGAAAGCUGGCUAUGAUCUUGCUAAACUCACUUAAUUCUGCCUGGAUUUUUGUGGAUUUCAUAGAAUCUUCUCUGGCUCUUCAUCUGUAACAAGGAGAUAAUAACUUUAUCUUCAUUGAGUAGAAAGUCAUCAUCUUCUGGGUAUAUACUGAAUCUCAGAUUCUAGGACUCUGUGACAGUGAAGUCCUUCACACAACAGAAUGGCUGGCUCUUGACACUAUUAUUGACUAAUGAAUGAUUUGCAUUAUCUUUGGGGAGAUUCAAUCAUGGAAACAGGAUGGACAAAUGGACAUUACUCCAGACAUUCAGCUUGGAGUUUCCAGGCUGUCCCAGUCCCUUGAGACCUGUCCUCACACCCUCUCACUAGCACCCCUAGCAAGCCUUGUGGGAUUCGAAGUGGAUUAUUCAAGGUGAGUGUUCCCUUUUCAAUUCUCAACAGAGAUGCCCAACCCUAUGACUUUCAUUGAUCUCAUUUAUCCAUUUCAUUCAUGCAUUCAUGCAUCAGUACAUUCAUUCAACAAAUAUUCAUGGGAUUCCUAUUGCAGGUUAAACUUUGUACUGGGCUCUGAGGAUACACUUGAAAAUAAAUCAGUCAUAGUUUCUACCAUUGUGGAACCCACAUUAAAAAGUGCUAGCAACAAUGAAGCAAGGGGAAACAUAAUUACACAUUUUAAAAGGAGCAUAGAAGGACAGAACAUGGUGGUACGAUUUGGGGCUAACUCAU